AGCUGCCUCAGUAGCCCAGUCGUUAGGUAUGUAACUUUUCCUUGUGAGAACGUUGGUUCGACUCCGCUUGCCGACAAUUUCAUAAGAAAAGUUGCAGAUCGAGCUGCUGAGCGUUAAGAGGGCCAUGGCGCACUGGAAAUACGUAACACCUGAU
rnacentral:sRNA from 1 species